rnacentral:misc_RNA from 1 species
UUAAUGGGCACUUGGCCACUGAGGAGAGGGGAAGAACAAGCAUCAAGGUCAUGAAAAAGGGUUUCUCUGAAGAUGGUUGUUCUUGUUCUUCUCAGUUUCUAGCUCCAUUGGAACAGAUUUCGUGAAGAGUGUGCCUUCGUAUUUGAUGGACUUGGGUACUAGAAACAACGCUCCUCGGGAGGACAAUGGUGUCAGAGGUCAAAGGACAUCGUUGCUUCCAAACGAAAAGGAUGAUAUUGAAAUUAUUGAAGAAUCCACAGCUUCUAACCAAGCGAAACGGACAAAACUUUUGAUAGACAUACCCCCAAG